CCAGUAAAUAAAUGACACUUGACAAAUUGUUUAUUAUGAAACAAAGUAUUAUUAUAUGUACAAAAUACAAGCAAGAUUUAUUCGUCCGAAAUUCGCGUGUGUUCCUAGCACGAAUACGUUUCCUUAUUUCAUGAGACCACUGCAUCGCGAAGAAUCGUCAUCGAUCGUUGGUAGUUCUGAAUUAGGGCAUGCUGUCACAAUGGAAUUGUGAAGCUCUUCUAACUUCUGCAACGUUCUGAAAUCUUGUUAAGAACACCCAAACUCUUUUGCCUUUUCUUAAUCUUGGCAAGUUCAGAGAAAACUGAGAAUUAUAUGAAACACAAUCAAAC